rnacentral:tRNA from 1 species
AUCUAAUUAGUUUAAAAAAAAUUUAAAUUUGUGGAAUUUAAGAUAUUAUAGUAUAUUAGAUA